GACGCUCUCCCCAAGGACACAAGCCAUGCAUGCCCGCACACCCGGGAAGCGGCGGACGGCUCAGGACAACGGUUGCACCCCCCGCGGCGGUCCCUGCUAGCCGGACACCGCUGGCAACCCGGCGCCAAGACGUGCGCGCAAGUGCGGACGCCCGCGGGCGAGCAGCGUGACGCAGCGACGGCCCGCCCGGGCUUCCGGGGCAUCAUCCGGUCGGACGCUCUCCCCAAGGACACAAGCCAUGCAUGCCCGCACACCCGGGAAGCGGCGGACGGCUCAGGACAACGGUUGCACCCCCCGCGGCGGUCCCUGCUAGCCGGACACCGCUGGCAACCCGGCGCCAAGACGUGCGCGCAAGUGCGGACGCCCGCGGGCGAGCAGCGUGACGCAGCGACGGCCCGCCCGGGCUUCCGGGGCAUCAUCCGGUCG
rnacentral:rRNA from 1 species